AACUCAAUUGUGAAACAUUUAGCUACAUUUAUACUACUCUAAUGAGCUAGUUGACAUACAGUAUGAAUACUUCAGCUUCGAAUGAGCUGGUCGUGUAGGGAAACAGGCCAUUACAUUCCUCCUCCAAAACACAUGAAGCCACCAGCUGCAUCCUCACACUGACUGAAGGCGGAUUUAUACAGACGAGAACCAUGCUACUCUGUCUGCACUUCAACCAGACAGCUGGAGAUGCUUUUGCAGCAGCAAGGAGCUGAUGGCACAAUGGAGUAUCCAGCAGUCCUACAGGGGUGGAUAUUAUAAUUCAGUGCUUUUCAAA